GGAUUACUUUGUUUUGGACUCUGUCAUCAGCCACUCAGUUUGUGCUGUGGACUGAAUUGCGUCAGUCCUUUUUCUCUUCCAGUGUGAACUUCAAACUGAAAAUCAAAUCUUUUGUGUUGCUUCUCGCUAGAUUGCACUCACACACUCAACACACACAUUAGUAGGUAUACUUGCUGUGCCUGACAUAUCGUAAGAUAUAUGCUAAUGAGAUUGUUGUCUCCCAUUAAAUAUGUACAUUUUUUGUAUUUUUGCCUGAAUAACUUAUAUAUGGCAUUGUGAAAUCAGGGAACAGAAGUAGUAAUGCUUGAGGUCUUUUACCCUCUGGCAUGUGACAUAUCUCUCAUCAUAGAAAAUUCCAUGAGUCACUGUGACAAAGAAACCCAAAGAUUAUUUAGUGUGAAAGACUUAUCUUAUAUUUUCAUUGAACUCAAGAUUACAUAAUAUACAAUAUUUUGUGUAUUUUCAUCAUGAAAAUCAAUUAAAGGAAAAUUUCAUGUAA